rnacentral:rRNA from 1 species
UUAAGUAAGAAAGGGCGUACGGUGGAUGCCUAGGCACUUGAAACUGAAGAAGGACGCAACAAACGGCGAAACGCGGCGGGGAGCUGUACGUAAGCAAAGAUCCGCCGGUAUCCGAAUGGGGGAACCCGGCAUGCGUAAUAGCAUGUCAUCCGCAGAUGAACAAAUAGUCUGCGAGAGAGGUACCCGGGGAACUGAAACAUCUAAGUACCCGGAGGAAAAGAAAACAACAGUGAUUCCCUGAGUAGCGGCGAGCGAAAGGGGAGGAGCCCAAACCAGACCGAGGUCUGGGGUUGAAGGACCGCGAUACGGCAAGAAUCAUGGUAGGAGAACGGCAUUGAAAGGCCGACCGGAGAGGGUGCAAGUCCCGUAUCCGAAACCGUGAGGAAGCCCAGCGGGAUCCUGAGUACGGCGAGACACGAGAAAUCUUGUCGGAAGCAGGCGGGACCAUCCGUCAAGGCUAAAUAUAAGCAAGUGACCGAUAGUGAACCAGUACCGUGAGGGAAAGGUGAAAAGAACCGCGGGAGCGGAGUGAAAUAGAACCUGAAACCGUAUGCUUACAAGAAGUCAGAGCACGUUAAGGUGUGAUGGCGUGCCUUUUGUAGAAUGAACCGGCGAGUUAUGUUAUCGUGCGAGGUUAAGCAGGAGAUGCGGAGCCGAAGCGAAAGCGAGUCUUAAUAGGGCGGCAGUACGAUGACAUAGACCCGAAACCGUGUGAUCUAGCCAUGACCAGGUUGAAGUUCAGGUGAAACUGAAUGGAGGACCGAACCGACCCCCGUUGAAAAGUUGGCGGAUGAGUUGUGGCUAGGGGAGAAAUUCCAAUCGAACACGGAUAUAGCUGGUUCUCCCCGAAAUAGCUUUAGGGCUAGCGUCGAGGAUGAGUCUUGUGGAGGUAGAGCACUGAAUGUACGAUGGCCCCAUCCCGGGGUACUGAGUAUAAUCAAACUCCGAAUGCCAUGAGAUAUUCCCGGCAGUCAGACCGUGGGUGAUAAGGUCCAUGGUCAAAAGGGAAACAGCCCAGACCUACAGCUAAGGUCCCAAAAUGUAUGCUAAGUGGAAAAGGAUGUGGGGAUGCACAGACAACUAGGAGGUUGGCUCAGAAGCAGCCAUCCUUCAAAGAGUGCGUAACAGCUCACUAGUCGAGUGACCCUGCGCCGAAAAUGUACCGGGGCUAAGCAUACUACCGUAGCUGCGGAUUUGUAGUAAUACAAGUGGUAGGGGAGCGUUCCAUGCACGUGGAAGCCAUACCGAAAGGAGUGGUGGAGAGCAUGGAAGUGAGAAUGCCGGUGUGAGUAGCGAGAUGCAGGUGAGAAUCCUGCACACCGAUAGCCCAAGGAUUCCAGGGGAAGGUUCGUCCGCCCUGGGUAAGUCGGGACCUAAGGCGAGGCCGAAAGGCGUAGUCGAUGGAAAACAGGCAGAUAUUCCUGUACCCGCGAUGGAAAUGAAGGAAUGACGGAGAAGGCUAGCAUGAGCCACUUAUUGGAUUGUGGUCGAAGCGAAUAGCAGGUGCAUAGUCAAAUGCGUGCACGGGAUGUAAAACGUGACAGGUAAGCGAAACCCUAGGGGAGUAGCGAAGCAUGCGAGGCCAGCUUCCAGGAAAAGUUUCUAGUGCUGAUUCCAUAGCGGCCCGUACCAAAACCGACACAGGUGGGCAAGGAGAGGAUCCUGAGGUGAGCGAGAGAACUGUUGCCAAGGAACUCGGCAAAAUGACUCCGUAAGUUAGCGAGAAGGAGUGCUUAUGAAAGUAAGCCGCAGUGAAGAGGCCCAAGCGACUGUUUAACUAAAACACAGCUCUCUGCGAAGUCGCAAGACGAAGUAUAGGGGGUGACGCCUGCCCGGUGCUGGAAGGUUAAGAGGAUUUGUCAGUUUCGACGAAGCAAUGAAUUGAAGCCCCAGUGAACGGCGGCCGUAACUAUAACGGUCCUAAGGUAGCGAAAUUCCUUGUCAGGUAAGUUCUGACCCG